GCUGGCUAAAAGCAGGUUAAACGAAGCAGCACCGCAUUAAAGACUUAUUCAACACAUGGUUGACUUCUUGUAUUACUUACAGUAGCCAUGGAGUUAAAUCCUUGUUUGCUUUCAUGAAAUCCACUGAUUCAAUUGAAGCGCGUGCAAUUCGGCUGGACUGUACUUAGCGAAACUGGGACAGCAGCAAUUUGUGCCUCCGCAUCCGCCGUCCACAAUGAUCUAUAUAGCCACAUCCUCGCUGCCAGAUAUAGCCGCAUUCGGAGCCACAGUAGUCAGCGCGCCAGCGUUUCACAAUGGUGGCCCAUGUUUAUGGCUUUGGCUGUUGCUGAAUGCCUCGAUUGGUCAGCUGGGCUCCCCCGCUCGAAACUGAAACGGGUAGCAUGUUUGGAAAAAAAGGGCAGCAGCACUAGGAAAAACUAUUGUGAGCAUCGACAAAGAUUUACGAGUCGCAUUUAUGGCGAAACUUUGGCCCAGACUCGCACACUGGAUGAGUAAUGCCUGCUUGUGUAAUUGCCAACAUACAUCAAUUGUUAGCAGCCAAUUUGGCAAUCGAUAUAAAAAAAUACGCGUGCGAUGACCAUUAACACAUAAUCAUUGCCCCAAGGCGGUGGCUGGCAAAAAUCAAGUGGCGAUCUGUGGGCGCCGAAGGGGCAGUUAAAUCCGAAGGACCUUCAUUAAACUGCCAGCAAAUCCAGCCAUGUGUAUACCGGCGAGUGUCCUUCGCAUCAAGGAUGUGCCCGCAUCGCAUUCGCAUUCGCAUUCGCAUUCUCAUCGCUGCUCGUAUCCGUGUGCCUGGUUUGCUGGCCGUCGUGUAAUCGCAAAUAAUCAUCCACUUAACGUCGUGAAACUUUAUGCCGGAGAUGGCCCAGCCAGGCCCUUAGCUCGGCCUCCAUCCUCCAGCCGCCAUCCUUGAUGGUCCGGAGCCAUCUGCUUCCUCCCUUGGAGUCAGCACAAUGUGACCGGGACUUGGACACGGACUCGGACUUGGACAGUGCCAGUCAUAAUAAUGUUUAUUAUGUGUAUGCUUUCUGGCAAUGGAGUAAAGCGUUUGUUUGUGCACAGAGAGAAAAGUGCACUAGUAAGUUGAUCUUUAUUGCGAUAAUAU
rnacentral:lncRNA from 1 species